AGAGUUUGAUCCUGGCUCAGAAUCAACGCUGGCGGCGCGCUUAACACAUGCAAGUCGCACGAGAAAGUGGAGCAAUCCAUGAGUACAGUGGCGUACGGGUGAGUAACACGUGGAUGAUCUACCUCUUAGUGGGGAAUAACCCUGGGAAACCGGGGCUAAUACCGCAUAAGCCUGUGAAGGGAAAGCAGCAAUGCGCUGAGAGAGGAGUCCGCGGCCGAUUAGCUAGUUGGUAGGGUAAUGGCCUACCAAGGCAAUGAUCGGUAGCCGGCCUGAGAGGGCACACGGCCACACUGGCACUGAAACACGGGCCAGACUCCUACGGGAGGCAGCAGUGGGGAAUCUUGCACAAUGGAGGCAACUCUGAUGCAGCGACGCCGCGUGAGCGAUGAAGCCCUUCGGGGUGUAAAGCUCUUUCGACGGGAACGAUAAUGACGGUACCCGGAGAAGAAGCUGCGGCUAACUACGUGCCAGCAGCCGCGGUAAUACGUAGGCAGCAAGCGUUGUUCGGAAUUACUGGGCGUAAAGAGUGUGUAGGCGGUUUUCUAAGUUCGGUGUGAAAUCUCCCGGCUUAACUGGGAGGGUGCGCCGGAAACUGGAAGGCUUGAGUAUGUGAGAGGAAGGCGGAAUUCCUGGUGUAGCGGUGAAAUGCGUAGAUAUCAUGAGGAACACCUGCGGUGUAGACAGCUUUCUGGACCAUCACUGACGCUGAGACACGAAAAGCGUGGGUAGCAAACAGGAUUAGAUACCCUGGUAGUCCACGCCCUAAAACGAUGCAUACUUGGUGUGAGCCGUUCAGUCGGUUCGUGCCGGAACUUAACGCGUUAGUAUGCCUCCUGGGGA
rnacentral:rRNA from 1 species